GCCAACUUAGCUCAGUGGUAGAGCAGCUGAUUCGUAAUCAGCAGGUCGCAGGUUCAACUCCUGUAGUUGGCUCCA
rnacentral:tRNA from 1 species